CUUCCUUGUUUGUUUAGCCUGUAAAACAGCAGCGGCAGCCACAAUGACAACUGUUCCCUUGACGGUAAUUCUGACUUAUUCAGACUUUAAUGUCAAUUUAACGCUGUGUUUCUUUUUAGGCAGCACAAACCUUUGUGUUGACAAAAUGUUUGUAACACCCACAAAUGUACACAACCAUACAGCCACAUUGUUCAACAAGAAGGUUUUUUUUCUCUCUCUCAAUAAAACAGAGGAAUUUAGCUGUGAAACUUUCCAAAAAUGACACUUGUUUAAAAAAACAAAAGUGAUUGGCGCACAAACGUAGUUCUGUGUGAGCGUGGUGUCAGCUGGUCCCAGUCCCUGCAGCCCUCACCGUGCCCUGUGCAGGCCUGACGGGACGCCGACUGCAGCUCAGGACAUGGCCUCGUUUGUUCAGGGUCCCCCCUCUCUGAAAAGAGUUAUGCUGUCCGUUUUGAAUGGACAGCGUUUUUCUUUGUGUGCUCGAUCAAAACAGAGGGCAAAGUUAGUCAGCAAGUUGCAUAGCUUCUGCAUUCUGAUUCUUCAAGCCUCUUUUGUAUGACGUUUAGCACAAUGUUUUACCCUGUGUCCGACCUGAAUGGCGUGCUGGAGAAAACAAUGAAAGGAGCGGACAAAGCAAUUGUGGCAAAGUGCUUUGGAAAAUGGAAAAGCAGCUCUCUAAGGUCCAGGACCAUGGAGAAGCCGGAUGAGCCGUCCGAGGAGAGGAGGAGGAGGAGGAGGACGAAGAAGAAGAGCCUGCCCAACUACACCUGUGAAGCUCCUAAAGUCAGCGAGAAAGCACUCGGUAAAAUGUCUAGACUGCUCCUCCAUCGCACACAUCCAGGCUGUUUUUACAUUCAGUUUAUUACAGACGAGGCUUUUUUCCCCUCCUUUUUCUUCUCCUUGUGUGACUCUCCGGCCUGCCAUAUCCGGUGAACAAACAAACCACAUUGUUGGGCAGGAGCAUUCCUUUUGAGGAAAAGUGUGUCUCCGAUGAUACAGAGCUGCCAGGAAAAGACAAAGCAAAAAAUAGCAAACACAAAAACAGUCACAGGUGCAUGGGAAAAAGAGAGAAGCGAGUGAAUGGUCACUGCAGUCCCCGGGAGGUCUUUCAGUGUUAGCCAGUGCGGUGGGUGGACUUCUGACAAGGACGCUGGUGAGCAGCCAGGUGGAGUGUGUUACUGAGAAUUCUCCUGUUUAUUCUUUUCA
rnacentral:lncRNA from 1 species